AGCAGUCAAAGAAUGUCCUUGCAUGUUUGAUGUGAUAAGCAGACAAUAAAGAAAUCUACUUGGCUUGAAACUACAGUUGCCUCUAGGACAUGAAGAUGACCUUCAGCCAACAGCCAACAAGACUUUGAAGCUUUCAUUCACGUAUUCACAAGGAAAUGAAUUCUGCCAACUACUUGAAUUAACUUGGAAGUAGAUUCUUCCUCAAUGGUGCCUCCAGAUGAGAAUACAGUGGGCCUGGCAACUUGAGUUCAGCCUGACCCUGUACAGAACACUGAUUUACCCAUGCCCAGAUUUAUCUGAUCAACAGAAACUAUGAGGUAAUAACAGUGUAUUAAGUUAGCCUGAUGAUUUUUUACUAAUUUGUUGCACAAAAGUAGAAAACUAAUACAAUUAUAUUUAGCAGAGAGAGGGAGAAAUACAAUCCACCCUAAGGCUCAGAACACAGCGAGAAUGUAUAGGUCCUAAACAUUGCAAAUGGCUAGUAAAAUAAAUAGAAACCAUACAUAUAGGAGAGAAUGAAAUAAAAGUAGUUAUUUAUAUAAAGUAUGAUUAUAUAGUAUGGGAUCCAAGGAUUUAUUGUUUAAAUUUCUAUUAAAACCUGUGUAAUGUUAUGGUCAACAGGAAUUGCAUAGUUUCACUUUGAAUAAACUAAACACGUUCAUUAAGUGAUGUAGCUUUAAAUUGAGAGCAUGUAUUUAAUAAAAACUUAACACACUAUAGGGAAACAUGUGUGUUCUAAAUUUUAAAAUAUUUGUAAUUUAUUAGCUCAUGUAAUUAUUACAUGUAGGGCUUAGAAAAUUCAGAAAAAAAAGCUAGCCUAAGAACAUAUAUUUGAGAAAUCAAGUUAUGUAAUUAAUUUUUACAAUUAGGAUUGUUGGACAAAUCUAAUAAAGUCAUAUAGAUUUAAUGAAACCAUACAUGUGAAGAAUCUUUAUAAGUUAAAUAAUCUGAGUUUAACUUUAUUCUUAAGAAAUUUUAAGUUUUGGACACAAUUUAAAGUUCAACACAACGAUUUAUCAAUUCUGAAAAGUAAUUGGAAAUCAUCAACAGAGAAACCCGUGACAGCCUACCUAGGAGAUAUCUAACAGUCCUGUUGGAAGUAUGACCAGAAGUUUGAGAAAACAAUUUUAGUUGCUAUUUUGAUUUCUUUUUAAAAUCUGAUUCCUACAUUUCUUUAUAAAAAGCUGUUUCUUCAUUCUGAUUUUGAUUUAUUUUGGUAUUUGUAAACAUGCUAAUUUUUAGUUUGCAGAUUUUAAAAAAAAUUUCAUGUUACUCUGCUUUGUCACUAAGCAUAAUGAUAGAAUUGCUAAAAAUUGAAAGGAUAAUAAAAUAAUAAAAAUGAAAAUUUUUAAUAAG
rnacentral:lncRNA from 1 species